UGCCAGCCGCCGCGGUAAUACGAAGGGUGCUAGCGUUAAUCGGAAUUACUGGGCGUAAAGCGCGCGUAGGUGGCCAAGCCAGUCAGAGGUGAAAUCCCAGGGCUCAACCCUGGAACUGCCUUUGAUACUGCUAGUCUUGAGUUCGAGAGAGGUAAGUGGAAUUCCGAGUGUAGAGGUGAAAUUCGUAGAUAUUCGGAGGAACACCAGUGGCGAAGGCGACUUACUGGCUCGAUACUGACGCUGAGGUGCGAAAGUGUGGGGAGCAAACAGGAUUAGAUA
rnacentral:rRNA from 1 species